rnacentral:lncRNA from 1 species
CCUGGACUUGGGGCUAGGGGUUGGACUGAGCUGGAGCAGGAAUUGGGCCUGGACUUGGGGCUAGGGGUUGGACUGAGCUGGAGCAGGAAUUGGGCCUGGACUGGGGGCUAGGGGUUGGACUGAGCUGGAGCGGGAAUUGGGCCUGGACUUGGGGCUAGGGGUUGGACUGAGCUGGAGCAGGAAUUGGGCCUGGACUUGGGGCUAGGGGUUGGACUGAGCUGGAGCAGGAAUUGGGCCUGGACUGGGGGCUGGGGGUUGGACUGAGCUGGAGCAGGAAUUGGGCCUGGACUGGGGGAUAGGGCUUAUUCCGGCCUGCGUUGGGACGGUCUAGGCUGGGGGUUGGGGAUGUGGGCCUGGACAGGUUUGGGCUGGACUGGGGGAUAGGGCUUGUUCCGGCCUGCGUUGGGACGGUCUAGGUUGGGGCGCUCAGACUGUCCGCAAUAGGCUGAGAGAGGCUGGACUGAGGGCUUGUAGGCCUGUUGUAAGGCAGGUCCUCACCAGACAUCAGCGGCAACAACGUCACCUAUGGGCACAAACCCACCGUCGCUGGACCAGACAGGACUGGCAAAAAGUGCUCUUCACUGACGAGUCGCGGUAUUGUCUCACCAGGGGUGAUGGUCGGAUUCGCGUUUAUCGUGGAAGGAAUGAGCGUUACACCGAGGCCUGUACUCUGGAGCGGGAUCGAUUUGGAGGUGGAGCGGUUCGUCAUGGUCUGGGGCGGUGUGUCACAGCAUCAUCGGACUGAGCUUGUUGUCAUUGCAGGCAAUCUCAACGCUGUGCGUUACAGGGAAGACAUCCUCCUCCCUCAUGUGGUACCCUUCCUGCAGGCUCAUCCUGACAUGACCCUCCAGCAUGACAAUGUCACCAGCCAUACUGCUCGUUCUGGUGCAUUCCAUGAGGAGGAGAUGCACUGCAGUACUUAAUGCAGCUGGUGGCCACACCAGAUAUUGACUGUUACUUUUGAUUUUGACCCCCCCCCCCCUUUGUUCAGGGACACAUUAUUCAAUUUCUGUUAGUCACAUGUCUGUGGAACCUGUUCAGUUUAUGUCUCAGUUGUUGAAUCUUGCUAUGUUCAUACAAAUAUUUACACGUUAAGUUUGCAGAAAAUAAACGCAGUUGACAGUGAGAGGACGUUUCUUUUUAGUUUAGAUGGAGUCUGAGGGGGAAAAGAAUUACACAAGUUUUGUGCUUCUUUCAUUUGUUUGGUAUGCAAGGUAACCAAACAUGCAAUCUUCAGGUGUGGAAAAAGUUAUCAUCCCCUUAAGUUAAGUUAACUCAAAUCAAAUGUAUUUGUCACAUGCACUGAAUACAACAGGUGUAGACCUUGUAGUGAAAUGCUUACUGACGAGCCC